rnacentral:lncRNA from 1 species
GUCGUGUAUCCCAAAGUGUAUCCCUCUGGCCACACAUCUUUUCUUGCAGAUGGACAUUGCAGUUGGUCUGGUUCGAGGUCUCUGCCUUCUGUGACACCAUCAAUAUUGGAUCCUCACCAGACUUCUCCUGCUUAUCCUGUUGUUGUUCUAUGUCAUGGAGAUCCUGCAUCUUUGGAUCAGCAGGACUGGCCCAUUCAUGAAUCUCAACCAUUUGCAGGCAUAAAGGCACUUUGGCCACCACACCAGGCCUUAAGCUAAAAUGAACAAAGGACUGCCAUCUGCUCUGUCCCUGACUGACACAAGAACAGUACCACCAACA